CACUUUAAGUUGGGAGGAAGGGCAUUAACCUAAUACGUUAGUGUUUUGACGUUACCGACAGAAUAAGCACCGGCUAACUCUGUGCCAGCAGCCGCGGUAAUACAGAGGGUGCAAGCGUUAAUCGGAAUUACUGGGCGUAAAGCGCGCGUAGGUGGUUCGUUAAGUUGGAUGUGAAAGCCCCGGGCUCAACCUGGGAACUGCAUUCAAAACUGUCGAGCUAGAGUAUGCUAGAGGGUGGUGGAAUUUCCUGUGUAGCGGUGAAAUGCGUAGAUAUAGGAAGGUACACCAGUGGCGAAGGCGACCACCUGGACUGAUACUGACACUGAGGUGCGUAAGCGUGGGGAGCAAACAGGAUUAGAUACCCUGGUAGUCCACGCCGUAAACGAUGUCAACUAGCCGUUGGGAGCCUUGAGCUCUUAGUGACGCAGCUAACGCAUUAAGUUGACCGCCUGGGGAGUACGGCCGCAAGGUUAAAACUCAAAUGAAUUGACGGGGGCCCGCACAAGCGGUGGAGCAUGUGGUUUAAUUCGUAGCAACGCGAAGAACCUUACCAGGCCUUGACAUCCAAUGAACUUUCCAGAGAUGGAUUGGUGCCUUCGGGAACAUUGAGACAGGUGCUGCAUGGCUGUCGUCAGCUCGUGUCGUGAGAUGUUGGGUUAAGUCCCGUAACGAGCGCAACCCUUGUCCUUAGUUACCAGCACGUUAUGGUGGGCACU
rnacentral:rRNA from 1 species